UUUUUAUUUUGUUUUUAGCAUCUUAAAUUAUUAAAAGAGUAAUCAGAUAGAAAUUUUUUAAAUUGAUUAAAUGUGUUGUGAUUUAAAAGUUGGCAGUGACACCAUACCACUAUAUUUCUAACUAAUCAAAUUAUACUUAUAGGCUGUGUUUGGUUGGAAAACUAAAUUUUGGAGAACAACUUUUGUUGUUUCCGAAAACAAGGGAUAUUCCGAUAUAAGAUAGAACAAUUAUAAAUUUAUAUUUGGAUGUAUUCGGGGAUAUUCUAAAAAAUAUUUUUAGUAGCGUUUGAAUAAAAAGUGUAGAACAAUGUCUAAAUAUAUUUUUAAAUAUAAAAUAAUUAAUUUAUAUUAGUAUAUUUUAUAUAAAACUAUUUAUAAAAUUAUUUCUUAUAGUAAUUUAUAAUAUAAUAUUUUAUGUAAGAGUUUAAUUUAAAAUAGUAUAUUUAGUUUACUAUAUAUAAUAAUAAUAAUUUAUUUUAUAUAAUUUAUUUAUAAUGUAUGUAAAGAUAUCCUUAUAAUUUAAAUUAAUAAUAGUAUAAAUACAAAUUUAAAAAAAUAUAUAAUGCAUGAAAAAAAAUAUAUAUAUAAUACUUAAUAUAAAAAAAUAAAUAUUAAUAUAUAAGUCAAAUUUAAUUAUUUUAUAUUAUAUAAUAAAAUUUAAGUAUAAAUAUAUUAUCAUAAAAAUAAUAUUUAUAUUAAUAUAUUUAUUUAUAUAUCAAUUUAUCUAAUAAAAUAAAAAGAAGAACAAAGUUAUUCUCAGUUCUCCUAGGAACAAGUUUUAACGGGUUGUUCCAGGACAACCCAGAACAAUUUGCUUUGACCAGAACAACUCAUUCCUUCCUGUUCUUCUACCGUUUGGUUACAACUUAGAGGAUAUUCCAUAUUGUCCCGAAAUGUCCUCGCUACCAAACGCAGCCAUAGAGUUCUCUCAUCCCAUCAUAAUUUUUAUAAAUAAUUUCUAUUAUAUUUUUUAAAAAAUAAUUUAAUU
rnacentral:lncRNA from 1 species